rnacentral:rRNA from 1 species
AUUGAACGCUGGCGGCAGGCCUAACACAUCCAAGUCGAACUAGUGGCGGACGGUUGAGUAAUGUCUGGGAAACUGCCUGAUGGAGGGGGAUAACUACUGGAAACGGUAGCUAAUACCGCAUACCAUCGGAUGUGCCCAGAUGUGAUUAGCUAGUAGGUUGGGUAAAGUCUCACCUAGGCGACGAUCCCUAGCUGGUCUGAGAGGAUGACCGGCCACCUUGCAACUGAGACACGGUCCAGACUCCUACGGGAGGCAGAAGUGGGGAAUAUUGCACAAUGGGCGAGAUCCUGAUGCAGCCAUGCCGCGUGUAUGAAGAAGGCAUUCGUGUUGUAAAGUACUUUCAGCGGGGAGGCGUUACCCGCAGAAGAAGCACCGGCUAACUCCGUGCCAGCAGCCGCGGUAAUAC